rnacentral:rRNA from 1 species
GGAUCAAAUCAAGCGCGAAAAGGGCGUUUGGUGAAUGCCUUGGCAGUAAGAGGCGAUGAAGGACGUGAUACUCUGCGAUAAGUUAUGGGGAGCUGAGAAUAAGCUUUGAUCCAUAAAUUUCCGAAUGG